rnacentral:snRNA from 1 species
CUCAUUCUGAAGACAUACUAAAAUUGGAACAGUAGAUGGUAGAUUAGCAUUGUCCCUAUGCAAGAAUGGCACGCAAAUUAGUGAGGUGUUUCAGACAAAU